GAUGAAGAACGUAGCGAAAUGCGAUAAGUAAUGUGAAUUGCAGAAUUCAGUGAAUCAUCGAAUCUUUGAACGCACAUUGCGCCCGCCAGUAUUCUGGCGGGCAUGCCUGUCUGAGCGUCAUUUCAACCCUCAUGCCCCUAGGGCGGGGUGUUGGGGAUCGGCCAAAGCCCGCGAGGGACGGCCGGCCCCUAAAUCUAGUGGCGGACCCGUCGUGGCCUCCUCUGCGAAGUAGUGAUAUUCCGCAUCGGAGAGCGACGAGCCCCUGCCGUUAAACCCCCAACUUUCCAAGGUUGACCUCAGAUCAGGUAGGAAUACCCGCUGAACUUAAGCAUAUCAAUAAGCGGAGGA
rnacentral:misc_RNA from 1 species